rnacentral:rRNA from 1 species
AGUGAACGCUGGCGGUAGGCCUAACACAUGCAAGUCGAACGGCAGCACAGUAAGAGCUUGCUCUUACGGGUGGCGAGUGGCGGACGGGUGAGGAAUACAUCGGAAUCUACUUUUUCGUGGGGGAUAACGUAGGGAAACUUACGCUAAUACUGCAUACGACCUACGGGUGAAAGCAGGGGAUCUUCGGACCUUGCGCGAUUGAAUGAGCCGAUGUCGGAUUAGCUAGUUGGCGGGGUAAAGGCCCACCAAGGCGACGAUCCGUAGCUGGUCUGAGAGGAUGGUCAGCCACACUGGAACUGAGACACGGUCCAGACUCCUACGGGAGGCAGCAGUGGGGAAUAUUGGGCAAUGGGCGCAAGCCUGAUCCAGCCAUACCGCGUGGGUGAAGAAGGCCUUCGGGUUGUAAAGCCCUUUUGUUGGGAAAGAAAAGCAGCAGGUUAAUACCCCGCUGUUCUGACGGUACCCAAAGAAUAAGCACCGGCUAACUUCGUG